AAUCAGGAAGAUGUAGCUAAGCUAAGAGCAAGCCAUCUGGUAUAACACUUUACAUGUGUUAAAGAAACAGGUUCAAAAGGAAUACUUGUUUCCUUUGCCCUCCUUUGGCAGCCUACAUAU
rnacentral:snoRNA from 14 species